rnacentral:rRNA from 1 species
CGGGUUGCAGCAGUAAGGAAUAUUGGUCAAUGGAGGCAACUCUGAACCAGCCAUGCCGCGUGCAGGAUGACGGCCCUAUGGGUUGUAAACUGCUUUUAUACAAGAGAAAACCCGAGUACGUGUACUCGGUUGAUAGUAUUGUAAGAAUAAGCAUCGGCUAACUUCGUGCCAGCAGCCGCGGUAAGACGAAGGAUGCAAGCGUUAUCCGGAUUCAUUGGGUUUAAAGGGUGCGUAGGCGGACUUGUAAGUCAGUGGUGAAAUCUCUCAGCUUAACUGAGAAACUGCCAUUGAUACUGCAGGUCUAGAGUAUAGAUGACGUUGGCGGAAUAUGACAUGUAGUGGUGAAAUACUUAGAUAUGUCAUAGAACACCGAUUGCGAAGGCAGCUAACGAAACUAUAACUGACGCUGAGGCACGAAAGUGCGGGGAUCAAACAGGAUUAGAUACCCGGGU